rnacentral:rRNA from 1 species
CGCCUAACAGCUAGCCCACCCAAGCAAUUUCAACAAACCCCUAUUAAUAACCCCUAAGUACCCCAGUAUUUAAAUUAAACAAACCAUUUUCCCCCCUUAGUACAGGCGAUAGAAAGGGGCCUACGGCGCGAUAGAGAAAGUACCGCAAGGGAAUGCUGAAAAAGAAAUGAAAUAACCCAGUAAAGCCUAGAAAAGCAGAGAUUCAACCUCGUACCUUUUGCAUCAUGAUUUAGCAAGUGUACCCCAAGCAAAGAGAACUUUAGUUUGGCGUCCCGAAACUACGUGAGCUACUCCAAGACAGCCUAUUAAUAGGGCACACCCGUCUCUGUGGCAAAAGAGUGGGGAGAGCUUUGAGUAGAGGUGACAAACCUACCGAACCUAGUUAUAGCUGGUUGUCCAAGAAAUGAAUAGAAGUUCAGCCUCUUGGCUUCUCUUUUCACCCUAGUUUAACCUCUAUCGAUGCAUUAAAGAAACCAAGGGAGUUAGUCAAAGGGGGUACAGCCCCUUUGAAUCAAGACACAACUUUACCAGGAGGGUAAAGAUCAUA